CAAAGUAAAAUAUUAGGACCCGCCCACGUGCUGCAGCAGAACAACACGAUCGUUGCUCGUUGUCACCUACCGGAGCAGUUUCGGAUUUCUUUGGAGUUUUUGGGGAAUUUCUACAACGUGCAACCGAUAAGACCAUCAGAUCUACUGGGAGGAAGACUUUAUAGACAUGGAACCAACAGUCAGAUUCCGGGUCCUUGUUGGUCACGAGGUCAAAAAACUUACACUCAACAGUGGCAUACCCUCAACUGUGGAUGAAUUGGUUGCAGCCAUCAAAGAACAAUUUGCCAUCACCUCAGAAAUCAGUCUUCAGUACAAAGAUGAAGAGUUUGAUGACUUUUUCACCCUAACGACCACAAAGGAUCUCAAAGAUAAAGACACACUUAAAGUAGUAUAUGUACCGCUAAACAUAACACUGACCCUUGUUCCCCAGGAAAGCACCCCUGAUACAUCCAGUGUGUACUCUUUUUCCGAGUCUGUGACACACUCUGAUGGCUCAGAUGAUACUGUGAUUCUGUCUCCUUCACCCUCUGAAAGGCAAAAUCCAUGGCCUGCUGUAUUCCCAAUUCCAACUUUCUCACACAACACUGAGCUGGCUUUGAGUCAAGGUAAUGAGAUUUAUUUAAGAGAUGGCACCCUACUGACAUCACCCAGUGUCAAAGCGGAUAUCUUGGAGCGUCUGGCAGAGGCCAUGUUUUGCUACACAGCGUACCCCAAUGAUGCCCAGAGGUCUGCAGUAGCACAGGCACUAAUAGAAAAGCAUCCCUGUUUGAAGGAGCCUGGAUCUUUUAAUGGAAUUUAUGGGUGGCAACAAAGCCUGAAAUACAAAUGUGGAAACUAUCGUACCAAACGUAAAGCAUUGGGAAGCCCUGAACUCCUGAUAAACUCAAUGAAACACAAGUCGGUAGAUGA